rnacentral:rRNA from 1 species
UACGAAGGGGGCUAGCGUUGCUCGGAAUCACUGGGCGUAAAGGGUGCGUAGGCGGGCCUUUAAGUCAGGGGUGAAAUCCUGGAGCUCAACUCCAGAACUGCCUUCGAUACUGGCGAUCUUGGAGUCCGGGAGAGGUGAGUGGAACUCCGAGUGUAGAGGUGAAAUUCGUAGAUAUUCGGAAGAACACCAGUGGCGAAGGCGGCUCACUGGCCCGGUACUGACGCUGAGGUGCGAAAGCGUGGGGAGCAAACAGG